AUGGACAGAAUACUUGACGUCAUUUCCCAAACACCACUAAUCGGAGCAGUCAAUCAAUCUCUUGCAGAAAAACAAGAAAUGUUCAUAUGUAUAGUCCUCCAAGUUCACUUUGAAACUCAUCCAGGUUGUCAAAAAUACAUCACGGGAGUGUGCAGGAAGUAAUGUCUUAAAGUGGCAAAAUUAAAAGUAAGUUAUGUGUUUACAGCAAUGAUGCACCUAUUAAUAUAAAAUUAUUAUACACCAGCCCUUACA
rnacentral:lncRNA from 12 species